CCUACGGGGGGCUGCAGUCGAGAAUAGUCUACAAUGGACGAAAGUCUGAUAGUGCGACGCCGCGUGAACGAAGAAUCCCUUCGGGGUGUAAAGUUCUUUUAUAUGUGAGCAAUGCUUCCUAGGUGAAUAGUUUAGGGAGAGAGAUAUUAGCAUAUGAAUAAGCAACGGCUAACUCCGUGCCAGCAGCCGCGGUAACACGGGGGUUGCUAGCGUUGUCCGGAAUUACUAGGCGUAAAGGGCAGGUAGGCGGAUAGAUAAGUUUGAUGUUAAAGGCGACGGCUUACCCGUCGUAAGGCAUUAGAUACUGUUUAUCUGGAAUGCGGUUGGGGAAGACAGAAUUCCUGGUGUAGCGGUGGAAUGCGCAGAGAUCAGGAGGAAUACCAAAGGCGAAGGCAGUCUUCUAAGCCGUUAUUGACGCUAAACUGCGAAGGUGUGGGUAUCAAACAGGAUUAGAUACCCCGGUAGUC
rnacentral:rRNA from 1 species